GACGGAGGGUGCUAGCGUUGUUCGGAAUUACUGGGCGUAAAGCGCACGUAGGCGGCUUUCUAAGUCGGGGGUGAAAUCCUGGAGCUCAACUCCAGAACUGCCUUCGAUACUGGAGAGCUCGAGUCCGGGAGAGGUGAGUGGAACUGCGAGUGUAGAGGUGAAAUUCGUAGAUAUUCGCAAGAACACCAGUGGCGAAGGCGGCUCACUGGCCCGGUACUGACGCUGAGGUGCGAAAGCGUGGGGAGCAAACAGGG
rnacentral:rRNA from 1 species